AAAAUGCAAUAAGUAGUGUAAAUUACAGAAUUUAGUAAAUUAUCGAAUCUUUAAACGUACAUUACGCCCCUUGGUAUUCUAUAGAGCAUGCUUAUUUAAGCGUUAUUUGUACUCUUAAGCUAUGCUUAGUAUUAGGUGCUUAUCCUCUCCUUUAUAGUAGACUUACCUUAAAUUCAUUAGCAGCUAAUGUAUUAGUCUUAAAGCGUAGCACAUUUUGCGCCUCUAGCUGAUAAUUAUUAGCGUCUAUAAGUAUAUUUAACACUUUUGACCUUAGAUUAAGUAGGGAUACCUACUGAACUUAA
rnacentral:misc_RNA from 1 species